rnacentral:rRNA from 1 species
AUUGAACGCUGGCGGCAGGCCUAACACAUGCAAGUCGAGCGAGCGGCGGACGGGUGAGUAAUGUCUGGGAAACUGCCUGAUGGAGGGGGAUAACUACUGGAAACGGUAGCUAAUACCGCAUACCAUCAGAUGUGCCCAGAUGGGAUUGGAUAGGAGGUGGGGUAACGGCUCACCUAGGCGACGAUCCCUAGAUGAUCUGAGAGGAUGACAAGCCACACUGGAACUGAGACAGUGUCCAGACGCCAACGGGGGGCAGCAGGGGGGAAGAUUGCACAAUGGGCGCAAGCCUGAUGCAGCCAUGCCGCGUGUGUGAAGAAGGCCUGCGGGUUGUAAAGCACGUUCAUCGGGGAGGCGUUACCCGCAGAAGAAGCACCGGCUAACUCCGUGCCAGCAGCCGCGGUAAUAC